rnacentral:rRNA from 1 species
ACGUACACUCCUGCGGGAGGCAGCAGUGGGGAAUAUUGCACAAUGGGCGCAAGCCUGAUGCAGCCAUGCCGCGUGUAUGAAGAAGGCCUUCGGGUUGUAAAGUACUUUCAGCGGGGAGGAAGGCGAUAAGGUUAAUAACCUUGUUGAUUGACGUUACCCGCAGAAGAAGCACCGGCUAACCCCGUGCCAGCAGCCGCGGUAAUACGGAGGGUGCAAGCGUUAAUCGGAAUUACUGGGCGUAAAGCGCACGCAGGCGGUCUGUCAAGUCGGAUGUGAAAUCCCCGGGCUCAACCUGGGAACUGCAUUCGAAACUGGCAGGCUAGAGUCUUGUAGAGGGGGGUAGAAUUCCAGGUGUAGCGGUGAAAUGCGUAGAGAUCUGGAGGAAUACCGGUGGCGAAGGUGGCCCCCUGGACAAAGACUGACGCUCAGGUGCGAAAGCGUGGGGAGCAAACAGGAUUAGAUACCCUAGUAGUCC